CACAUCACGAAAGUCUGCUGCUCUUGAAGUACGCUGUGCUAACCGCAGGGAGGCUAGGCGCCGACGGAGUGGCAGGUGAUUGGGGUGAAAGUCGUAAACAAGGUACC
rnacentral:rRNA from 1 species